UACGAAGGGGGCUAGCGUUGCUCGGAAUUACUGGGCGUAAAGGGUGCGUAGGCGGGUCUUUAAGUCAGAGGUGAAAUCCUGGAGCUCAACUCCAGAACUGCCUUUGAUACUGAGGAUCUUGAGUUCGGGAGAGGUGAGUGGAACUGCGAGUGUAGAAGUGAAAUUCGUAGAUAUUCGCAAGAACACCAGUGGCGAAGACGGCUCACUGGCCCGAUACUGACGCUGAGGCACGAAAGCGUGGGGAGCAAACAGG
rnacentral:rRNA from 1 species